GAUGAACGCUGGCGGCGUGCCUAAUACAUGCAAGUCGAGCGAACGGACGAGAAGCUUGCUUCUCUGAUGUUAGCGGCGGACGGGUGAGUAACACGUGGAUAACCUACCUAUAAGACUGGGAUAACUUCGGGAAACCGGAGCUAAUACCGGAUAAUACUUUGAACCGCAUGGUUCAAAAGUGAAAGACGGUCUUGCUGUCACUUAUAGAUGGAUCCGCGCUGCAUUAGCUAGUUGGUAAGGUAACGGCUUACCAAGGCAACGAUGUAUAGCCGACCUGAGAGGGUGAUCGGCCACACUGGAACUGAGACACGGUCCAGACUCCUACGGGAGGCAGCAGUAGGUAAUCUUCCGCAAUGGGCGAAAGCCUGACGGAGCAACGCCGCGUGAGUGAUGAAGGUCUUCGGAUCGUAAAACUCUGUUAUUAGGGAAGAACAUAUGUGUAAGUAACUGUGCACAUCUUGACGGUACCUAAUCAGAAAGCCACGGCUAACUACGUG
rnacentral:rRNA from 1 species